CCCUUAGAUGUUCUGGGCCGCACACGCGCUACACUGAAGGAGGCAGCGUGUACUCCUGGAUAGAAAGAUUUGGGUAACCCGCGAAUCUCCUUCGUGCUAGGGAUUGAGGUUUGCAAUUAUCCUUCAUGAACGAGGAAUUCCCAGUAAGUGCAAGUCAUAAGCUUGCGCUGACUACGUCCCUGCCCUUUGUACACACCGCCCGUCGCUACUACCGAUUGAAUGAUUUAGUGAGGACUUCGGACUGGGACCGAUGCGGCUUUCGGGCUGCGUCGGUAUUCUGGAAAGAUGUCCAAACUGUAUCAUUUAGAGGAAGUAAAAGUCGUAACA
rnacentral:rRNA from 1 species